rnacentral:rRNA from 1 species
CCUACGGGAGGCAGCAGUGAGGAAUAAAACGAAGCACGUGUGCCUUUUUGCAUGCACUUUAUGAAUAAGGAUCGGCUAACUCCGUGCCAGCAGCCGCGGUAAUACGGAGGAUCCGAGCGUUAUCCGGAUUUAUUGGGUUUAAAGGGAGCGUAGAUGGGUUGUUAAGUCAGUUGUGAAAGUUUGCGGCUCAACCGUAAAAUUGCAAUUGAUACUGGCAGUCUUGAGUACAGUUGAGGUAGGCGGAAUUCGUGGUGUAGCGGUGAAAUGCUUAGAUAUCACGAAGAACCCCGAUUGCGAAGGCAGCUUACUAAACUGUGACUGACAUUGAUGCUCGAAAGUGCGGGUAUCAAACAGGAUUAGAUACCCUGGUAGUC